CUGGUGCCAGCAGCCGCGGUAAUUCCAGCUCCAAUAGCGUAUAUUAAAGUUGUUGCAGUUAAAAAGCUCGUAGUUGAAUUUCGGGAUCAAAUUGUCGGUCGUGCCUCGGUACGUACUGGCGUUAUUGGUUCCUCCCUUCUGAAGAACCGCGAUGUCAUUAAUUUGGUGUCGCGGGGAAUCAGGACUGUUACUUUGAAAAAAUUAGAGGGUUUAAAGCAGGCUCGCGCUUGAAUACAUUAGCAUGGAAUAAUGAAAUAGGACGUUUGAUUCUAUUUUGUUGGUUUCUAGGAUCGACGUAAUGAUUAAUAGGGAUAGUUGGGGGCAUUAGUAUUCAAUUGUCAGAGGUGAAAUUCUUGGAUUUAUUGAAGACUAACUACUGCGAAAGCAUUUGCCAAGGAUGUUUUCAUUAAUCAAGAACGAAAGUUAGGGGAUCGAAGACGAUCAGAUACCGUCGUAGUCUUAACCAUAAACUAUGCCGACUAGGGAUCGGA
rnacentral:rRNA from 1 species